AACGCACGAGACCUGCGGACCUGCGGAAGGAUCAUUGCAAAUCAGGAGGGGAGUGUGGGGGAAGGAGAUCGGGGGAUCGAGAUCUUGUGGUCUCGAUGCUCUGUUCUAUCCAUCCCAUUCCAUCUCAUAUAUGCACAGCGGCUGAUUUUCAGUCGCUGAUGUUUACGCUUGUUUGUUUGACAAAUCUAUACAUUGCAAAAUUCAAAACUUUUAACAAUGGAUCUCUAGAUCGGAAGAGCA
rnacentral:misc_RNA from 1 species